rnacentral:rRNA from 1 species
UGCGACCUCAGGUCAAG